GGGCAGCGACGACAUCUCCUCCANGUCUCUUCAAUUUUUGGCGCGAGCGCUUGCUCGGCCGACGUCGGUUUCCUGUGCUGAAUACCUAUUGCGAGGGCAUUGUGUCGGCUACGUUUGUUCUAUUCCCACCUUGUGCCGCUGCUCCACGUGGGCGUGCGGUGCGGGGCGGGCCAAAUCGCGCGCGUCGUGUGUCGCACCGNGUUCGCCCCUAGGGGCGUUCGGGUUGUCGACCCACGACGUGUUGCUCGGUGUCUCGGGUACGGUGCAUCAUGUGGGUACGAGGCCGUCGGCCUCCGAGCACCACAAACAAGCGUUCUACGCUUCGUGCGAACGACCGUCUGUUCGGUCUUUGGCC
rnacentral:misc_RNA from 1 species